UUCCAAAGAAUUGAGUUCAGUUCAAGGCAGCUUCCCUGUUCUGUUAACGAAACUUUGGGACAUUGAAAUGGGCUACGGGAGAUGAUUGGUUCAAAAGCAUUAUUCUAUUCAUUUGCCUCUCUUUUUUUUUUUUUUUUUUUUUUUUUUGGAGAC
rnacentral:snoRNA from 1 species